rnacentral:rRNA from 1 species
AGAGUUUGAUCCUGGCUCAGAACGAACGUUAGCGGCGCGCCUAACACAUGCAAGUCGCACGCGAAAGGGCUUCGGCCCCGGUAGAGUGGCGCACGGGUGAGUAACACGUGGGUAACCUGCCCUCGAGCGGGGGAUAACAUUCCGAAAGGAGUGCUAAUACCGCAUAAGACCACGAUCUCGAAAGAGGACGCGGUAAAAGCUGGCCUCUGUAUACAAGCUAGCACUUGAGGAUGGGCCCGCGGCGCAUCAGCUAGUUGGUGGGGUAAUGGCUCACCAAGGCUAAGACGCGUAGCUGGUCUGAGAGGAUGAUCAGCCACACUGGAGCUGAGACACGGUCCAGACUCCUACGGGAGGCAGCAGUGGGGAAUCUUGCGCAAUGGGCGAAAGCCUGACGCAGCGACGCCGCGUGAGUGAUGAAGGCCUUCGGGUUGUAAAGCUCUGUGGGGAGAGACGAAUAAGUGCAAGCUAAUACCUUGCAUGAUGACGGUAUCUCCUUAGCAAGCACCGGCUAACUCUGUGCCAGCCGCCGCGGUAAUUC